CAUAAAACUAUAUUGAAAAGUUCUUUUUAUGUUGUUGGCACUCCGACGAGUGUUCCAAUUGAUCCGAUCAACGGAAAAGCCUGCUCGUUUAAUUAAAGUGUAAGUGGCUGAGCACUCCACAGACACGAGUACCCUUAAUGUAGUUCUCGGGGGAGAUUCAGCGUGACAAAGUGUGU